UACGUAGGGUGCAAGCGUUAAUCGGAAUUACUGGGCGUAAAGCGUGCGCAGGCGGUUAUGCAAGACAGAUGUGAAAUCCCCGGGCUCAACCUGGGAACUGCAUUUGUGACUGCAUGGCUAGAGUACGGUAGAGGGGGAUGGAAUUCCGCGUGUAGCAGUGAAAUGACGUAGAUAUGCGGAGGAACACCGAUGGCGAAGGCAAUCCCCUGGACCUGUACUGACGCUCAUGCACGAAAGCGUGGGGAG
rnacentral:rRNA from 1 species